UACGUAGGGGGCAAGCGUUAUCCGGAUUUACUGGGUGUAAAGGGAGCGUAGACGGAAUUGCAAGUCUGAUGUGAAAAUCCGGGGCCCAACCCCGGAACCGCAUUGGAAACUGUAUUUCUAGAGUGUCGGAGAGGCAAGUGGAAUUCCUGGUGUAGCGGUGAAAUGCGUAGAUAUCAGGAGGAACACCAGUGGCGAAGGCGGCUUGCUGGACGAUGACUGACGUUGAGGCUCGAAAGCGUGGGGAGCAAACAGG
rnacentral:rRNA from 1 species